rnacentral:rRNA from 1 species
CAAUUCUGGUUGAUCCUGCCAGAGGUUACUGCUAUCGGGGUUCGAUUAAGCCAUGCGAGUCAAAUGUUCUUCGUGAACAUGGCGAACUGCUCAGUAACACGUGGAUAAUCUACCCUUAGGUCUGGAAUAACCCCGGGAAACUGGGGAUAAUACCGGAUAGAUCAUAGAUGCUGGAAUGCCCUAUGUUCUAAAGCUCCGGCGCCUAAGGAUGAGUCUGCGGUCUAUCAGGUUGUAGUGGGUGUAACGUACCUACUAGCCGACGACGGAUACGGGUUGUGAGAGCAAGAGCCCGGAGAUGGAUUCUGAGACACGAAUCCAGGCCCUACGGGGUGCAGCAGGCGCGAACACUUUACAAUGCGGGAAACCGCGAUAAGGGAACCCCGAGUGCCAGCACCAAGUGUUGGCUGUCCAGAUGAUUAAAUCUCAUUUGUUAGCAAGGGCCGGGCAAGACCGGUGCCAGCCGCCGCGGUAACACCGGCGGCCCGAGUGGUAACCGUUUUUAUUGGGUCUAAAGGGUCCGUAGCCGGUCUGAUAAGUCUUUUGGGAAAUCUGGCAGCUUAACUGUCAGGCUUCUAAGAGAUACUGUCAGGCUUGGGACCGGGAGAGGUAAGGGGUACUCCAAGGGUAGGAGUGAAAUCUUGUAAUCCUUGGGGGACCAUCUGUGGCGAAGGCGCCUUACCAGAACGGGUCCGACGGUGAGGGACGAAAGCUAGGGGAGCAAACCGGAUUAGAUACCCGGGUAGUCCUAGCUGUAAACGAUGCUCGCUAGGUGUCAGGCACGGUGCGUCCGUGUUUGGUGCCGUAGGGAAGCCGAGAAGCGAGCCACCUGGGAAGUACGGUCGCAAGGCUGAAACUUAAAGGAAUUGGC